CCUACGGGAGGCAGCAGUAGGGAAUCUUUCACAAUGGGCGAAAGCCUGAUGGAGCAACGCCGCGUGCAGGAUGAAGGCCUUCGGGUUGUAAACUGCUUUUAUAAGCGAGAAAUAUGAUGGUAACUUAUGAAUAAGGAUCGGCUAACUACGUGCCAGCAGCCGCGGUCAUACGUAGGAUCCGAGCAUUAUCCGGAGUGACUGGGUGUAAAGAGUUGCGUAGGUGGGAUAAUAAGUAGCUAGUGAAAGCUGGUGGCUCAACCAUUCAGACUAUUAGCGAAACUGUUAAGCUCGAGACCGGUAGGGGUAACUGGAAUUUCUAGUGUAGGAGUGAAAUGCGUAGAUAUUAGGAGGAACACCAAUAGCGUAGGCAGGUUACUGGGACGGUUCUGACGCUGAGGCACGAAAGCGUAGGGAGCAAACGGGAUUAGAUACCCUAGUAGUC
rnacentral:rRNA from 1 species